rnacentral:lncRNA from 1 species
UUCCUUGUUAACCAAGUUACUUUUAAAAAGAUCCUUUUUAAACUGAUUCUUCCUCAGCUGUUCUUCAGCCCUCUAUACUUUUUCAUAAAAGUCACCAGUGACUGCCCAGUUGCCAAAUAGAAUGAAUACCUUUCAGUGCUCAGCUGUCUUGACCUCUCCGCAGCAUUUCACACCACCCACCAACCCUCAGUGAAACAACCUCCUCCCUUAGCUUUUAUGACACCACAAGUCUCUGGAUUCUCAGAGAAUCCAGAAAAACAAGUCUCUGGAUUCUCUCCUCUUACCUCUCAGCCCACACAGGCUGAGCUGUCCUUGAAACCUAGAUGGGGGAAAUGUCUGUGGCUGUCUGUGGUCUCUUCUUUUCAGGAGUUGGGUAGGGAGGAAGAAUCACAGCUGCUCCUGCUUCCUCUGUCUGUCUCUCUAUUUCCUGAGUCCCUUCCUUUUCCUGAACUCAGUUCUCCUCAUGCCAACCAUGUUUAUGAGCUCCUGCUGGGAGGACAGCAUCUGUGAGUCCUUCCCUCUGUCUCUCCCAGACAACACAGAGGUUUUAGCCUGUUUGCUAAGAGACCCCAUCUAAGUCAGCCCAAGGGUGUGGAUUAGGUUUUACAGCAUCCAGGCCGCAGUCUGGCUAAACUGGAUUACCAGGCUGGUGGGCAGCUCCUCACCAUGAUCCUGCACCAGUUAGAGCCUGCUGUAGUUGGGAAGGAGCCUGGGAUUGUGGUAAGAUGUGUUUCCGUGCAUGUCAGUGCUGCUAACCAGGAGGAGAACCUGGCAGGGUGGGUGCCUGCUGCUGAUAACAUUCGGAUGGAGGGAGACUAGGGAGCGCGGUGGCUGCUCCCUUGCUGGGGCUCAGCUGGAGUCAGCAUGACUCCUUAUAUCAGGGCCUUUCCCACCUGUGCUGAUCACCACCACCUGCUUGCUCCAGUUGUUUCUGGAGUUGGAGGCAGCUAUUGGUUGCUUUCUUGGAGGUAAGGAGGUAUAUACUAGAAAGAUAUCUGAUUUGAGAGUCUGAACACCAAAAUUUUUGGCUCUUUCCAUUAUGAGCUGUGUAACCUUGGAUACAGUUUCCUCAUCUAUAAAGUUGUGGUGGGAGAAUGGCUGAGAACAGUGAUCUCUCAGCUCUCCAGCUGUAAAGAUGUUAAUUAUGAUUUUAACUCUCAAGAUCAGGCCACAUAAGGAACAGGGGAAUUCCAGGGGUGGGACACAGCUGGGGGAGUCCAGACCAGGGCAGGGAAAGGAGACUCACAAGCCAAACAGAGCUGCUUUGGGGAAAGUUCUUAUCAGCUGGUGCUGCUUCCUGAGCCAUAUGCCCAUUCCUCAAGCUGUACCCCUUUCUUGGCUAUGUAGGAUGAGUUCCUCCUAGGCCCUUGUUAGGAGUGGCUAUUGGAUUCUAAGCGGUUGGGGCAUGAGGGAGGAUAUUUUAAAGGGAAGUAUAGCUGAUUUUAAAAGAACCUAUACAUUCAAGAACAAAUAAAAAACAGCACUUUUCUUUACC